rnacentral:misc_RNA from 1 species
AAAAGAGGCGGAAUCUGUGACGAUGCCUAUGUCUUUCAUGACUGGAUCAAUUGUGGGAAAGAGGUUUUAUCAGAAAGUGACGACUAGAGAAGCUGAAGAUGGAAAUGGUUGGAGUGUUAUGCUUGAUUACCGUACGCUUAAAACCCCUUCUAAGCGCCCUCUCAAAUGCCCCACUCUCGCUCUUGCUAAGGCUAUUGCUGCUGAAUGGGAAUACCAGGAAGCAGAUGGGAUCAGGCCCUUUACUAUGCCAUUAAUGAAACUAUCAUGUACUGCACUAGAAAGAGUUCCACUGACGCGUCAUAAGAUAAUUGAAUAUUUGAUGAAGAAAUUCCCUCAAGAUUUAGUAUUCUGUCGUGCUCCAGGGGAUAAUGAUCUGACAAGCGG